rnacentral:lncRNA from 1 species
CGUAAGUCAAAUUUGAGAAGUACACAAUUUUCGAAGAAAGGGAGAAAGCAAGUCAUAAAAUAUAUUUAUACAUUUCCAUCUAAAAAACAAUAUUUAUAUAUUAGAGCCCAUAACAAUAUUUAUCUAAAAGCUUGUUAUUUUGCUGUAUAACAGAAAUUUUCUCUUCUGUCAGCUUUGAGAUUAGUGCUUUUGUCUGCAAACAAGAUAAAGAACCCUCAGCCUUCAUUCUUAAUAACAAAAAUUAUUAAGGGAUUUUGUCUACAAAUUAUCAGCCAAGAGAAAGUCUUUGGCAAUGCGCAAAUUCUGCAUUGCUACCAACCAAGGCAGUGGCUACAGAGCUACUAAAAUAUAGUCACCAAAAGCAAAAUAAUGGUCUUACCAUAGCAAUAUCUCCGGAACAUAAAGAGCAUAUGGCAGAGGAGAAACAUCAUAAAGAAUUACAGCAGAGAAGAGAAGAAAUGCUUGAUCCAUAUGAAUGUAUGUGUGUUCACCAAACAAAAGAUCCUUAAUAAGGUUAUAAGGGUUCUGGUAAGAAGAAAGAUAUCUGUUAACAAGCCAUUUGAAUCAUUGCAUCAACAGUCAGCUGAUCAAGAAAUGCUGGAGGGAAACUUGUUUGUCAAGACGACACUAUUAAUCCAACAUCAUUUAUGCAAGCAAGCUAGCUGCUGGUAACUUAUUUGUUCAUGAACAUAGAGUGACAUAUUUUAGCUACAUGAGGAAGGGGUGCAGUAGGAGGUUUCUGAUGCAUUGGUUAAGCAAUUAAUACUGCAUGUUUCAUCAACGAUGCAGAUGCAACCUUCUCCAUAUUCAGCUUUGACUUUCCCAGCACUGGUGUCUUUAUAAGAUAUUGAUAUUCUCUAUAUCAGAAUUCUAUAACACCCACAUAAUACAGAUUCUAUAAUGGAAACGGUAUGCAACAAAUAGCCACUUUUCUACUCCUCAAUUAGAAACAUCAGCUCUUGUUCCUUGCUUUAUCUGUUUAAUCAAAAUUUUUGUACUUCGGUCAAAGCUUAUUUUUAGAAGUACCCGGGCUACUGAUAAUCAAGAAAUUCUAUAUUUGAUUGCACUACAAAAAACACAUAGCAAUUUGGGUAUUUGCUUGAUGAAACUAGGGAGAGUUGGUGAGGCAAAAGAGACACUUCGGAGAGUUAAAUCAGCAGUGGCAGAUGGCCCCAGGGAUCUAGAUCCCCAUCUCAAGGCAUAUUUGAGAGCACAACAGAUGCUCUAGGACCUCGAUUAUUAUAUACGCCUCAAGAAGGUUGUAUGCAGCAUGUUGGUAAAAAAUAGGAUUUUACGCAUAUAAAAUAAUUGACGUUGUGCCUUCAGAAUUCAGACAUCUUUAUCUGCCUGUGUCGAAACCUAAUCUUCAAUUGAAUUUACAUCUUCUUUCUCAACAAGUUGCUGAAAUCAUUGUUCUUGGUUAACAUGAAAGAAACGAGAAUCAUGAAUUGGGCAAAGCAGAGUCAUAUUAUAAUAGAAAACUCGAGAUAUAGUUUUUAGUGUAGCAUCAAGCGAGAUUAAGCACUAGUCAUGAUGAGUAGUUAACAAAUGCACAAUCAAAAUGGAGGUGAUUGAAAUGAGUGAUGCGUGAGGCAACCUAAACCUACUAUCAGUACAAAGUAAGAAGGGAGUGGAAGAUGCUCAAAGCUGGUGCUCUUCGUGAGUUCAUGAUGACUUCAGUGGUCACUAAGGUUCACAAGUGAGCAGCACUACAUAGUAAACAGAAUUUCAUAUAGGCAAGAUAUUAAUUUUGAUUUAGUUCUAGAGUAACCUGAUGUAAGCAAUGUAAGAUCAAUGCCUAUCAGUGGCUAAUUCAGCCUAGUGUGGCUAACUCAACAGUUGCAAUCAGUUCUAAAAAAUUAGAUUUCAGCACCAUGUUGUAACUUAACUCAAGGCAUCAUUAGUUAAACCCGAAGAUAACAAUAUAAACUAAUUUGAGUACCAUAGAUAAUAAGAUAAAUAAGCAAAAUACACAAAUACACUACCAGCAAAUCCAAUUACAAAAGAUUUAAAUUAAGAUAAAUUUCCAGCAACGAGUGUUCCCUAAAUUACCAACAAUGAUUUCUUCUCGGCUACCAGAAAUAAACUUUGUCUAAGCUAAUAAUGUAUAUACUACCAAAGAACGUUCUAUAGUUCAACAAGGAGCAGCAUGCAAGAAAAAAAAUAAAACUUGACAUCAGAAAGGGAUUACUUGGAGAAUAUUCGAGCAAAGAAAACAAGAAAUAAUCUUGCCUUAGAUAUAAAAACAAACUAAUUAGACUCAAAAGAGUUCGAACCACUACAGAUCACAACUGAAAUUCUGCAAAACAUUACGUAAAUUACACUCAACUAGUGCAUAUUCUGACCCCACCUGGUGGGAAUACACUGGGUAGUUGUUGUUGUUGUUGUUGUAGUGCAUAUUCUGACCCAAAACUUAACUGAAAACUAUGCAAUUGACGCAACAAAGUUCAACAAAUAUGCUAAUUAAUAGCUGAAAUUUGACAGCCGAAUCAUUUGUCGAAGCAUUAUGAUAAGUAAUCAAGCUUUAUUACGUAACACUAAGCAAAUGUUGGUAUGAAUAAAUUCUUUGAAUUACAAAAGUUGACAAAACAAUCAUGAGGUGCUACACAUUCUUGAAUGUUACGAAGGAACUAAAAAGAAUGUCUGAGUUGUAUACUUCAUACAAAUUAAGUUCAAAAGCAAACAGGUGCAAUUAUCUGUUUUCCCGUGCCUAUAUUACAGAUUCAGUAUCUUCUAAGUAUUAGAUGUUCCUUUUUUCUAAAUUGUCUACAGUAUAACAUCGUUUAAUAUGGCCUUAUGUUCCCCAUCUUCCUUAUCAGCCAGUUCUAAUAACUGUCUCUUCGGUCACCAGCCAGGAUUUUCGAAUAGAAAUAACAACAUUUGCAUAAUUUAGUAGAUGGAUAAUCUCUUCUAUGUUAGUAGCCAUGGAACACUUCAAAAUCAGUUCAACGAGCUCAAGAAAUUUUACAACAAAUAGUUUCAAUCAAUGGCAGCCUCAAGUCAUACUGCGAAUUCAGUUCAACACUCAAAAAAAUCAAGCUUAAACUUGGUGAGUCUCAUUCACAGAUUCAAAUCAAUAGAUCCUAAAUAGUAGUAAUCUAGUCUUCUAUUCGAUUAAUCAAUCACAAAUCCAUAAAAAUUCAAAAAAUGACACAAAUUUAAGCGUAGAGAAAUCAGACUUGAUGCGUCGAGGAGUGUAUAGGCUACGCAACAGCUUCAUGCACUCAACUCCAAAAAUUUGAAGCUUUUCUUCGAGCUUCAGCACCAGAAAUUCGAUUGUCGACACCAAACAAAUGAACCCAAGCUUCAGCCACAACUUCUCGACACCAAUUAGAAUAAAAUCCCAAAACCAAUUUGUUCAGACACUCACGAAAACAAUGAACCCUAGGUCAUCGGAGAGAGAUGUGGGGGUAUAAGUGUUUUCAGCAAGAUUUUGAGAAGAUGACCUAGGUCAUCGAAGAAGAAGAAGUUUUUUAGAGAGAGAGAGAUAGGGGCGGGUAUCAGUGAAGAAGAAGAAGACUCGGUAUUAAUUUGGGGGUAUCGACUAUAUUGCAGUUAAUUGGA